rnacentral:rRNA from 1 species
GGUUAAGCGACUAAGCGUACACGGUGGAUGCCCUGGCAGUCAGAGGCGAUGAAGGGCGUGCUAAUCUGCGAUAAGCGCCGGUAAGGUGAUAUGAACCGUUAUAACCGGCGAUACCCGAAUGGGGAAACCCAGUGUGAUUCGUCACACUAUCAUUAACUGAAUCCAUAGGUUAAUGAGGCGAACCGGGGGAACUGAAACAUCUAAGUACCCCGAGGAAAAGAAAUCAACCGAGAUUCCCCCAGUAGCGGCGAGCGAACGGGGAGGAGCCCAGAGCCUGAAUCAGCAUGUGUGUUAGUGGAAGCGUCUGGAAAGGCGCGCGAUACAGGGUGACAGCCCCGUACACAAAAGCGCAUGUGCUGUGAGCUCGAUGAGUAGGGCGGGACACGUGGUAUCCUGUCUGAAUAUGGGGGGACCAUCCUCCAAGGCUAAAUACUCCUGACUGACCGAUAGUGAACCAGUACCGUGAGGGAAAGGCGAAAAGAACCCCGGCGAGGGGAGUGAAAAAGAACCUGAAACCGUGUACGUACAAGCAGUGGGAGCACAGGUUUACCUGUGUGACUGCGUACCUUUUGUAUAAUGGGUCAGCGACUUAUAUUCUGUAGCAAGGUUAACCGAAUAGGGGAGCCGUAGGGAAACCGAGUCUUAACCGGGCGUUAAGUUGCAGGGUAUAGACCCGAAACCCGGUGAUCUAGCCAUGGGCAGGUUGAAGGUUGGGUAACACUAACUGGAGGACCGAACCGACUAAUGUUGAAAAAUUAGCGGAUGACCUGUGGCU